rnacentral:ncRNA from 1 species
GUGUGUUAAGAUAAAAGAGAAUGUUAGCAACCCCUAAGAAAAGGACACAAGUGAUCCUAGUAGCCUUUUUU